CAUAAGACAACAGAAUUUCCUGAUAUGUCAAAUCUUCAAAAUUCUCAGUGAAAAUCAAAAAUGUUAAAUUAAUAUUUUGUAUGAAAUACAAAAACCACUAAAUAUGAGUGGAUUCAGGAUGUGGGCAUUGCAGGAUUUAUCACACAUAUUUAAAUUAUUGCGGCGCGAAACACGUGCGUCCUUGAAAGUAUCCAAACGUCAAUUUUCGAGUUUGCUCGACUCCUCCUGUAAACAUAAAAAUGCUCGUAAUAGCGGGAAAAUUCAUUUGCCGGCAAUUCCCAAUGAUCUGGGAAAAUCCAUCUCCGUAAUACGGUUGACAAUAUCGGAAAACGUCAGACUUAGCGCUCAAUCGCCUGUGUAUUUUAAACACAAUGACUUCCUGUCUCGUUUGCAAAGUCCACAUUUAGGCCGCCCAUUCUUGGCGAGACUGCAGUCAUGUAAGUCGGGGAAAUCCAACAAGUGGGAAGAUCGGUUCAAGUCGCAACACCCGGAACCGUCAGGGUGCAAGUCGCGACGUUCAAAACCAGUGUGCAAAGUCGCGAGCAAGACACGCUGUAAGAAAACUUGCGAAAAAAAGAAAAGAACUUGUGAGAAGAAGGAAAGAACUUGCGAGACUCUGCGUUCGGGAUGGUAUGAUCGAAAGUGGGAACAACGGAACCGUGAAUCUGCGUGCGAGCGUAAAGUGUGUCCCGAGCGAAAGAAGAAAACUUGCAGCGACGUCAAGAGCGCGAAGAACUGCGACGAACUGCGCGAAGUCUGUGAGCAUCCGUUGAGACGAAGAAACAACUUCCGUUGCGACAAAAACAACCGUCAUAAUUCGGACAAAUGUCGAUAUUACUCACGCCUGUCGAUUUCCUCGGUACCGCCUAAUUGCAGACUCUUUCCGAUUCUGACUUCCGGUGCAAUUCGCGAAUUCGAUACGAGCGAAACGACACGAAGAUUUUACGUGAGCUGUUCCGACGACAAAAAAAAGAAGAAGAACGAAACGACAAAGUCGCGCAACUGCAAAAGAACGCGGAAAGUUUGUCGGACUUCGCAAAAAAGCAAAGUCGAAAAACCAGAUAAACCCACAUCCUGUUACGAAAUGUACUGUGCAAAUAGGAAAGCAGCAAAUGCUGUAGAAGAUCGACCUAAGAAGGAGUCGAUGAAAGAACAAAUAGAGCGCGAGUUCAGAGAGAUAAAAGACUGCAAAAAAAGCUUGAAAAAAGACAGAAACGACGAUAAACAGAAAACAAUAGACAGAAAAUUUGCAAGUGUGCCGAAUAAAUUGAUAUCUUACAUUUUGACGAGUGUCAUGAACAUACCGCUAAUUCAAUCUGAAAUCAAUAAGAGAUUUCAAAAUAUCGUUUGGUUAUAUCCACAUCGCAUUCGAGAUGUCAGUCUAUUCAACGCGAUGUUUGGUCGAUCGUUCUCUACGAUGAAGGUAGAUGAUCAGAAUGAUUCUGCUGUCAAACGUGCCGUGGAUCGUGACAAAAUAGAUCAAAACUAUCUCGAGAAUAAUAACGAUCUUAUUCAAGGGGAUGAAUUGCCAAAUUAUAUCGAAGCGGAGGACGUCGAAGAAGAGAACGACGUUUGAUUAUUAGUCGGCAAAUUCUCAAAAUCGAUCAUUGGAUCCUAGAUUAGAUCUUAGAUUGAAGAAAACGAUAAGAAUGAGAUAUGGUACGAUAUGACACAACCAAAGUUCAGUAGUGACACUACACAUAAUGAAAGACUAUUACUUAAGAAACAUAUAUGUCAAGUUUUAACUUCGGUAUAUUAAAGAUGCUGGAGAAUAUAAGCAAGCAAAUACUGAGAAUCGCUGAAAACAAAUGUGAAAGAAGAUUUUUUGUCGGUUGGACAUAUUUGUCAUCUUGAAAAAACGUGUAAAGAAAGCGUUUUUCACGAUCAACACCUUUCUACUACUAUCGGUGGAUUAUAGCUAAGGUUUAUUAUAAUUUUGGAUUUCUUCUCAGGAACUUGUGCUUUUUUAAUGAAUUAUUACAGAGUUUGG